rnacentral:rRNA from 1 species
AAUCAACGCUGGCGGCGUGCCUAACACAUGCAAGUCGAACGCGAAAGUGGAGCAAUCCAUGAGUAGAGUGGCAAACGGGUGAGUAACACGUGGGUGACCUGCCUUCGAGUGGGGGAUAACGUCCCGAAAGGGACGCUAAUACCGCAUAAUAUGCUGUCUUUUAAGAGAGAGACAUCAAAGCCGGGGACCGUAAGGCCUGGCGCUUGAAGAGGGGCCCGCGCCUGAUUAGCUAGUUGGUGGGGUAAUGGCUCACCAAGGCAACGAUCAGUAUCCGGCCUGAGAGGGCGGACGGACACACUGGGACUGAGACACGGCCCAGACUCCUACGGGAGGCAGCAGUGGGGAAUUGUUCGCAAUGGGCGCAAGCCUGACGACGCAACGCCGCGUGGAGGAUGAAGAUCUUCGGGUCGUAAACUCCUUUCGAUCGAGACGAAUGGCCCUUGGGAUAAUACCCUGAGGGAGUGACGGUACCGAGAGAAGAAG